UACAGAGGUCUCAAGCGUUGUUCGGAUUCAUUGGGCGUAAAGGGUGCGUAGGCGGUGACGUAAGUUGGAUGUGAAAUCCCGGGGCUCAACCCCGGAACUGCAUUCAAUACUGCGUUGCUAGAGUACUGGAGAGGAGAUUGGAAUUCACGGUGUAGCAGUGAAAUGCGUAGAUAUCGUGAGGAAGACCAGUGGCGAAGGCGAAUCUCUGGACAGUUACUGACGCUGAGGCACGAAGGCCAGGGGAGCAAACGGG
rnacentral:rRNA from 1 species